UAGUGUCCAGAGAAGUGAUUUUUGCC
rnacentral:misc_RNA from 1 species